GCGAGGUUUCAUGCGGUAAGUUAAUGAUUCAUAUCACGGUUCUUAGAACUUCUAAGCCGUAGGUCACAGGUUCGAGCCCUGUAGGGCGUACCA
rnacentral:tRNA from 1 species